rnacentral:rRNA from 1 species
UACGUAGGGUGCAAGCGUUAAUCGGAAUUACUGGGCGUAAAGCGUGCGCAGGCGGUUCUAUAAGACAGAUGUGAAAUCCCCGGGCUCAACCUGGGAACUGCAUUUGUGACUGUAGAGCUGGAGUACGGUAGAGGGGGAUGGAAUUCCGCGUGUAGCAGUGAAAUGCGUAGAUAUGCGGAGGAACACCGAUGGCGAAGGCAGCCUCCUGGGCUAGCACUGACGCUCAGGCACGAAAGCGUGGGGAGCAAACAGG